rnacentral:tRNA from 1 species
UGGACCUUCCCGGGGUGCGGUUGCCCGGGGCCCCCUUCAUGGGGGUGAUGGGGGUCGCACCGUCGCGAGAGUUGUUCGAGCGCAACAGGUCCGCC